rnacentral:lncRNA from 1 species
GGGGUGGGACAGCAUGGGAUGAAGUAGAGUGGAGAAACAUGGGGUGGGAUAGGAUGGGAUGGGAUGGGAUGGGAUGGGAUGGGAUGGGAUAGAGUGGAGUGGGAGGAGAUGAGAGGGGUGGAGUGGGAGGAGAUGAGAGGCGAUGGGGUGGGAUGGGAUGGAUGGGGUGGGAUGAGAUGGGGUGAGAUGGGAUGGGAUGAGGUGGGGGUGGGAUGGGGGGGGAUUAGAUAGAACUCACUGGCAGGAGAUGCCCAUCUACUUUUACUUUUACCAUUUACAAUCACAAUAGGACAAAGGACACGGGUCAGGGGCUCUAGACUUGUGUUCCCUGACCAUUCGCAGUGGGACCCUGAUCAAGGCUCUUCUCUGGGCCUCGACUUCCUCAUCUGUCCGUUGCAUGUUGGAAUUUAAUGAUAUCUAAGGAUUCAUUUAUAGCAGGCAUUCACUCAUAAUUCAGAAAGAAUUUGCUGAGUGCCUACUCUGUGCCAGGCACCAUGCUCAGUGUCCAAAGCCAAUUACAAUACAGGGUGUUUCCUCCAACUGCCCAGUCACCCCAAGAGAUAAAUUCGACAUGACUUGGAAUGGACUCUGGGUUAGCACUUCUAGUGGCCUUAGGACACUGUGGACGACAGCUCAAGAUGAAACACACAGGCUGUACCCUCAACAAACAGCCCAUCAGGGCUGAAAGAGACACCUGGUGGGCCUCAGAGACAGGCACAUGCCCUGAAUUUUAGCCAGGGAGUGACCAUAAUCAGUAAAUGCCACGGCAGGCAAGAGCCAGCCACUCUUGGUUAUUUAAGCUCUAAAUAUAGGACUCCUGUGAUAGUCCCUGUCUGCUAAGGGUGUCCUAUCAAAGUGUUUUUUUUUUUUUUUUUCAUGGCCCCACUCCACCACCAAAUGUCUACUUGAUCCUCUUGUAGCCUGAAAUAGAGCCCAGUCCAGCUCCCGGCCACCCACAGUGGAAAGAAGCUCAGCAAUUUACCAUGGCAUUCAAAUCAAUUCAGGAUCUGGCUCAUGCCUGCCUCUCUAACCUUACUCGUUCAUUCAUUCAACACUAUUUAUAGCUGCUAAGCACCAUGCUAGGUCCUGGGGAUUCAGCUUUGACCAAGACAGACACAACUACUGCCCUUAUGAGCUCACAAUUCAGUGAGGGAAACACUGAAUAAUGUCACAAAUGACCUUAAAAUUACAACUGCAUAAAGUUCAGGGGAUGAAAAUUAGGAGACCUCCGAGCCUCGUUCUAUCUAGUCUUUCUCUCAGACUUAACACUCUCACCAGACUGGACUUCCUUCACUUCCCUGAGUGGACAUGCUCUCUCUCACCUCAGGACCUUUGCACAUGCUUUUCCCCUCUGACAAGAAGUUUCUUUCAACUCCAUUGCCCACUCUCCUGGCUAGCUCCUCCACAUCCUACAAGUAUCAGCUUAGAGGCCACUUUCUUCAGGAAGCCAUGCCUGGUGUCACCAGUGUGGGUUCCCCUUCUGUUCUCCUCCAUAGCAUGUGUUUAACCCCCACUUAUUACACUCCACGGUGAGUGCCUUUUGCAUUUCUAGCUAGUGCACUAGGCGGGAAAUUUCACUGUGGCAUCAACAAGUUUUACUGAAUGGGUGAGUCACAUCCUUACCUUUUGUUCAGUCCCAUUCACUGUUUGACCUUGGGGUCCUCCAGCCCUCCAUAAAAAUAAGUGUUUCUCCAGAUUUUUCUUAUUAUAUGCUGUAAUUCUUUCAUGAAGGGGGCAGGGAAAACUGGGGAAGCUUAAAUCAGCUUUUUCUUUAUAUCUGCAAAGCUCCAAGGUCCUUCAGACUCAGCUCCCUCAUGGGUACUGGAACCACAGAGACCACCUGACAAGAUAAAGCUGGAAGGGGAUGCAAGAAUCUUGAGUUCCAUCCCCUGCUCUCAUCUUCACAAUUGGCUUCCAUCUUGGGACAACCUCAGUGAAUUUUGCUAUGAGAGGGAAUACUAUGCAUAAAAUGAGGUUACUCUAAUGUGAGCAUUUCAAAUCCCUUUGUAGUAGACAGAAUAAUGACCCCUCCAAAGAUGUCCACAACCCAAUCCUCAGAAUGAGAGAAUACUUUACCUCACAUGGUGAAAGGGACUUUGCAGGCAUGAUUAAGUUAAGGAUCUAGGGAUGGAAGGAUUAUCCUGAAUGAUACAGGUGCACCCAAUGUAGUCACAAGAGAGAAGCAAGAGGGUCAAAAUCAGAGAUGUGGGGAUAGAAACAGAGGCCAGAGAGAGAGAGAUCUAAAGAGCCAGCUGGCUUUGAUAAUGGAGGAAGGAAGGGGACAUGAGCUAAGGAAUGCAAGUGGCCUCUAGAAGCUAGAAAAGGGAAGGAAACCAAUUCGCUCCUAGACCCUUCAGAAGGGUCAAAGCUCUUCUGACAUGUUGAUUACUGCUCUAUAAGACCCUUUGGACUUCCAACAUCCAGAACCAUAAAAUAAUACAUUGAUGUUGGUUUAAUCCAGUAAGUUUGUGGCCAUCUGUAAGUAUGCAAGCAUAGGAAACUAACACACUCUUCCAACUAUUCAACCUAUGUCUCCUGAAUGCUGGGGUUCAGGUGGGGUAGGUUUCCUGGUAGAUCUAGAACCUUCUAGAAAC